rnacentral:rRNA from 1 species
GGGUUGUGAGGUUAAGCGACUAAGCGUACACGGUGGAUGCCCUGGCAGUCAGAGGCGAUGAAGGGCGUGCUAAUCUGCGAUAAGCGCCGGUAAGGUGAUAUGAACCGUUAUAACCGGCGAUACCCGAAUGGGGAAACCCAGUGUGACUCGUCACACUAUCAUUAACUGAAUCCAUAGGUUAAUGAGGCGAACCGGGGGAACUGAAACAUCUAAGUACCCCGAGGAAAAGAAAUCAACCGAGAUUCCCCCAGUAGCGGCGAGCGAACGGGGAGGAGCCCAGAGCCUGAAUCAGCAUGUGUGUUAGUGGAAGCGUCUGGAAAGGCGCGCGAUACAGGGUGACAGCCCCGUACACAAAAGCGCAUGUGCUGUGAGCUCGAUGAGUAGGGCGGGACACGUGGUAUCCUGUCUGAAUAGUGGGGGGGACCAUCCUCCAAGGCUAAAUACUCCUGACUGACCGAUAGUGAACCAGUACCGUGAGGGAAAGGCGAAAAGAACCCCGGCGAGGGGAGUAGAAAAAGAACCUGAAACCGUGUACGUACAAGCAGUGGGAGCACCCUUUGGGUGUGACUGCGUACCUUUUGUAUAAUGGGUCAGCGACUUAUAUUCUGUAGCAAGGUUAACCGAAUAGGGGAGCCGGAGGGAAACCGAGUCUUAACCGGGCGUUAAGUUGCAGGGUAUAGACCCGAAACCCGGUGAUCUAGCCAUGGGCAGGUUGAAGGUUGGGUAACACUAACUGGAGGACCGAACCGACUAAUGUUGAAAAAUUAGCGGAUGACCUGUGGCUGGGGGUGAAAGGCCAAUCAAACCGGGAGAUAGCUGGUUCUCCCCGAAAGCUAUUUAGGUAGCGCCUCGUGAAUUCAUCUCCGGGGGUAGAGCACUGUUUCGGCUAGGGGGCCAUCCCGGCUUACCAACCCGAUGCAAACUGCGAAUACCGGAGAAUGUUAUCACGGGAGACACACGGCGGGUGCUAACGUCCGUCGUGAAGAGGGAAACAACCCGAGACCGCCAGCUAAGGUCCCAAAGUCAUGGUUAAGUGGGAAACGAUGUGGGAAGGCCCAGACAGCCAGGAUGUUGGCUUAGAAGCAGCCAUCAUUUAAAGAAAAGCGUAAUAGCUCACUGGUCGAGUCGGCCUGCGCGGAAGAUGUAACGGGGCUAAACCAUGCACCGAAGCUGCGGCAGCGACACUGUGUGUUGUUGGGUAGGGGUAGCGUUCUGUAAGCCUGUGAAGGUGUGUCUGUGAGGCCAUGCUGGAGGUAUCAGAAGUGCGAAUGCUGACAUAAGUAACGAUAAAGCGGGUGAAAAGCCCGCUCGCCGGAAGACCAAGGGUUCCUGUCCAACGUUAAUCGGGGCAGGGUGAGUCGACCCCUAAGGCGAGGCCGAAAGGCGUAGUCGAUGGGAAACGGGUUAAUAUUCCCGUACUUGGUGUUACUGCGAAGGGGGGACGGAGAAGGCUAUGUUGGCCGGGCGACGGUUGUCCCGGUUUAAGCGUGUAGGUGUGUGUUCCAGGUAAAUCCGGUUCACUUUAACACUGAGGCGUGACGACGAGGCACUACGGUGCUGAAGCAACAAAUGCCCUGCUUCCAGGAAAAGCCUCUAAGCAUCAGGUAACAUCAAAUCGUACCCCAAACCGACACAGGUGGUCAGGUAGAGAAUACCAAGGCGCUUGAGAGAACUCGGGUGAAGGAACUAGGCAAAAUGGUGCCGUAACUUCGGGAGAAGGCACGCUGACACGUAGGUGAAGUGAUUUACUCAUGGAGCUGAAGUCAGUCGAAGAUACCAGCUGGCUGCAACUGUUUAUUAAAAACACAGCACUGUGCAAACACGAAAGUGGACGUAUACGGUGUGACGCCUGCCCGGUGCCGGAAGGUUAAUUGAUGGGGUCAGCGCAAGCGAAGCUCCUGAUCGAAGCCCCGGUAAACGGCGGCCGUAACUAUAACGGUCCUAAGGUAGCGAAAUUCCUUGUCGGGUAAGUUCCGACCUGCACGAAUGGCGUAAUGAUGGCCAGGCUGUCUCCACCCGAGACUCAGUGAAAUUGAACUCGCUGUGAAGAUGCAGUGUACCCGCGGCAAGACGGAAAGACCCCGUGAACCUUUACUAUAGCUUGACACUGAACAUUGAGCCUUGAUGUGUAGGAUAGGUGGGAGGCUUUGAAGUGUGGACGCCAGUCUGCAUGGAGCCGACCUUGAAAUACCACCCUUUAAUGUUUGAUGUUCUAACGUGGACCCGUUACCCGGGUUGCGGACAGUGUCUGGUGGGUAGUUUGACUGGGGCGGUCUCCUCCUAAAGAGUAACGGAGGAGCACGAAGGUUGGCUAAUCCUGGUCGGACAUCAGGAGGUUAGUGCAAUGGCAUAAGCCAGCUUGACUGCGAGCGUGACGGCGCGAGCAGGUGCGAAAGCAGGUCAUAGUGAUCCGGUGGUUCUGAAUGGAAGGGCCAUCGCUCAACGGAUAAAAGGUACUCCGGGGAUAACAGGCUGAUACCGCCCAAGAGUUCAUAUCGACGGCGGUGUUUGGCACCUCGAUGUCGGCUCAUCACAUCCUGGGGCUGAAGUAGGUCCCAAGGGUAUGGCUGUUCGCCAUUUAAAGUGGUACGCGAGCUGGGUUUAGAACGUCGUGAGACAGUUCGGUCCCUAUCUGCCGUGGGCGCUGGAGAACUGAGGGGGGCUGCUCCUAGUACGAGAGGACCGGAGUGGACGCAUCACUGGUGUUCGGGUUGUCAUGCCAAUGGCACUGCCCGGUAGCUAAAUGCGGAAGAGAUAAGUGCUGAAAGCAUCUAAGCACGAAACUUGCCCCGAGAUGAGUUCUCCCUGAGACUUAAAGUCUCCUGAAGGAACGUUGAAGACGACGACGUUGAUAGGCCGGGUGUGUAAGCGCAGCGAUGCGUUGAGCUAACCGGUACUAAUGAACCGUGAGGCUUAACCUUACAACGCCGAAG